rnacentral:tRNA from 1 species
GUCAGAAUGGCCGAGCGGUCUAAGGCGCCAGACUCAGGUUGUGCACCUUCUCAAAACAGAGAGAUUUCUGGUCUCCGAAUGGAGGCGUGGGUUCAAAUCCCACUUCUGACA